UUCGGAAGUGGAAGUAACAACGGGAAUUCGAACUCAGGAAGUCACAUCAGUGGCCACAACCAAGGCGUCGGUGAUACUCCUGCUAAAAGGCACUCCUCGAAGUCGUUUUGAUGCACUUUCAGAGAAUGGUGCUUUGCAAGCCCUGUCAUUAAUUUGACAUAAAUAACAAGAAUAACGAUAAUUCGCUGUAGAAACCGUUAUGGGAUUAUAUCUUUGAAACAGAGAUACUAUUUGAGAGUCCCAAUGAAGUUUUUCUUGCAUGUUGGGCCGCACUGAAGGUCAUCCAGUCCCGUCUGUUCUGAGCGAGCCUGAACUAUGGUUAAACUAACCUGCUAAGGUAUAAUGCUAAGUAUAGGAUGCUUGAGCACCCAUAGUUAACAUCACGACGAAUGAAGGGCUUGUAGGACAAGCAGUUAACAAAUCCUGGACUCUUAACUGGUAUCUCUAUGUUAAACAUGGAUAACAUUUACAAAAAGAUGUGAAAUCUUCAGCUUAAAUAACGAGUUUAAUGGUUUUCAUUUUUGUGCUAGUUCAUUUAAUUUAGAUUUCAGAACAAUUUGUUUUAAAAUAAAGGCUUGCAAUAUAAGUUUGAUGUUGUUUUCUAAUUAGCAGGAGCUAAGGAUUGAUUAUAUUUAGAGCUUUCUUCAGUAGAGGGGGAUGGUCGGGAAUUAAUAAUGGAAUUUUUAAAACAUUAGAAAUCAACCUGCAAUAAAAAUUGGUACGCUUU